UAGAGUUUUUCCUCUUGUUGUUCUCUCUCCAUUAGGGUUUUCUGUAAUUAAAUUCUUGCAUUGUUGUUCAUAUUCUUGAGAGUAGAGUAGGUGAGUGUAGUAUAGGUUGAUUGUAGUGAGCUUUAUGUUGUAAGUUCUUGUGAAACAAUUUGGUUCUUAAAGCUUAAUGAAAGAACUGAUUAUGUUUGGAUGUGUUUGUGUACUUUCUAAGCAUAUCGGUUGUAUCUUCCAAAAAUUCAUCAACCCGCCUAUAACUUUGUUCACUGUAAGGGUGGAAAGAACUCAUAUUUCCCAAUCCUCUGUUACAGUGGAUUGUAAUCCAUUUAAGACUCGUGGCUCCUCAAAUUGUCAAGAUCAAUCUUACUUAUUUAGGGAGCCUACGUUCAUUUGGGGACCUGGUUGCAUUGUUAUUGGCUCUAAAACGAUUGCACUUUCAAGAGUAUUAUAAAAUUUUGUGGGCAUUGUGUUGAUAUAUUAAGAAUGUUCAAAACCGGUGGUUUUCAGAUUUGAUGACAAUGUGGUAUGUUCUGAACAUUAUAUUUGAGUCUUAACAUGUUCUUCUUUAUCAUGUCAUAAUAUAUCUUAAAAUUGCCUUCAUUAAUUUUUUUUAUCUAAAACAUUAUGGAGUCGGUAUUUCAAAACACUUAUUCAUGAUGAAGUUAUAAUUUAGUAAUGUAAUUUGAUUAUUGAUUGUAUUUUAGUAGGCACACAGUUUUUUUUAUUGACCGGUAGCAUCGUCUACGAAUUGGCAUCAUGAGAACUAUGAGACGCCCAAAAUGGUUUGUAUGAUUUAGUAUUUAGCAUUUGGUUUGUUCUAACUUUCAGUCAACCUCUUUAAGCUCCAAUUUCUAGCAGCUUUUAAGUUUAUAUAUCUUGAAUCUCUGAUUUAGCUUUUGGUAAUUCCUUACUAGGUUUACUUUGAUAAUCUAUGUUUAUUAUUAGUUGCUUAUGAAGUAACUAUUUCCAAUGUUUCUGCUA